CCUUUGUACACACCGCCCGUCGCUACUACCGAUUGAAUGGCUCAGUGAGGCUUUCGGACUGGCCCAGGGGAGUUGGUGACGACACCCCAGGGCCGGAAAGUUAUCCAAACUCGGUCAUUUAGAGG
rnacentral:rRNA from 1 species